CCGAGUUUACAACUCCCAAACCCAUGUGAACGUACCAAACUGUUGCCUCGGCGGGGUCACGCCCCGGGUGCGUAAAAGCCCCGGAACCAGGCGCCCGCCGGAGGAACCAACCAAACUCUUUCUGUAGUCCCCUCGCGGACGUAUUUCUUACAGCUCUGAGCAAAAAUUCAAAAUGAAUCA
rnacentral:misc_RNA from 1 species